rnacentral:lncRNA from 1 species
GUAGGUAGGAAGUGCAGACGAGCAGCUUCCAAAAGGUGCAGCAAAGACAGAAACAGUAUGAUAGAAGAUAAGUUGCAUAUAAGACUUUAGACUCACAAAGAUAGGAUAAAUGAUAGAAUGUUUUCUUUAAAUCUUGCUAAAUGUUAAUGGACUAAAUAGUAUAACUAUAACUUGAUAACUGUUUUGUUAUAUAUAAUUUGACUAUGUUAAAGUUAAAACCUUUCUUUUUAUUUAGACAGGAAAGAGGAGAUUUUGGGGAAAUCUCUUCUGUGCAUAUGUUUCUCUUACUUGGUUGAUGAGUAAAACACUGUUGGCCAAUAGGGAAGCAAGCUAGGAGGGACUAGGAGACAAGGAGGAUUCUGGGAAGUGUAGUAUAAGAAAAAGUCACCAUGUGAUCCCGGGAGGAGAGGAUGCAUGAGUCUGGCGUUCUCAGAAACAAGAGGCUGUGGAUUUGUUCCUGACACUUAACAGUGAGACGUAUCUGCUCCUGGCAGCACCGGUACACUUCAUAAAAGGAUGAUGGGCAUCGAAGAAACUCCAUAGGAUUUCCUUUCAUUGUGACAAGAUGAAGAAAACUAUUCUCUUGUGGUCUAAUGAUGAAACCAGAGAAAUCAACAGUAUGUCAAGUUGACAGCUGACACCAACUAUGACAGAUCAUUUGGAAAGAGGGAGACCAACAGAAGAGGAAGAAGUGAAGAUAAGUGUAGCUACUACCCAUCAUCACUUCUUUACAGCAAGUGGAGACCAUCACAGAAAACCAUAACUGGACGUAAGGCAGAGAUCAACAGAUCAUGGGUAGCCCAGCACCAUGGAUAUAUCUGCAUUACGACUCCUGCCUCAGUGGCUCAGAGAACAUCACAGAAGAGGGGAUGGAAAGAUUGUAAGAGCCAGAAUACCAGGAAGUCUGCUGUGAAACAGCCUUUCCUAGAAAUGGCUGCAUAAACAAUACUAGGGCAAUGGCAGCAUCAAUGGCUGUGUUAAUGUGGAAGGGGAAAUUUUUCAUGGAGUCCCACCACUAGACAAAGAAGUACAAGCCACUAAUAACUGAUGGGAAAGGAG